rnacentral:misc_RNA from 1 species
GUGAGUCAUCGAAUCUUUGAACGCAUAUUGCGCCCGCCAGCACUCUGGCGGGCAUGCCCGUUCGAGCGUCGUUUCACCGCUCAGGCCCUAGCCGCCUGGCGUCGGGGCGCUGCGGCCCUGCCCGCAGGCCCCUAGAUCUAGCGGCGGACCCGCCGCGGCCCUGAGCGUAGUACCUUAAACCUCGCUCCGGCGGCCGCGGCGCGGCCCAGCCUCGCCACACGACACAAGGUCGACCUCGGAUCGGGCAGGACUACCCGCUGAACUUAAGCAUAUCAAUAAGCGGAGGA